rnacentral:rRNA from 1 species
UACGGGGGGAGCAAGCGUUGUUCGGAUUUACUGGGCGUAAAGGGCGCGUAGGCGGCCACCGCAAGUCAGUUGUGAAAUCUCUGGGCUUAACCCAGAAAGGUCAACUGAUACUGCGGGGCUAGAGUGCAGAAGGGGCAACUGGAAUUCUCGGUGUAGCGGUGAAAUGCGUAGAUAUCGAGAGGAACACCUGCGGCGAAGGCGGGUUGCUGGGCUGACACUGACGCUGAGGCACGAAAGCGUGGGGAGCAAACAGG